rnacentral:lncRNA from 1 species
AUGGUCCUUUGCUCGCCCUCCAGGCACUGGGUCCUGCUCCCCUCCUUGCCCUCCAGAGCCCAGCCGGGAUCCCCUCCUCACCCUCCAGGGCCUGGGCCCUAUUUCCUCCUCACCCUCCAAGGCCUGGGCCCUGUUCCCUCCUCGCCCUCCAGGGCCAUACCCUGCUCCCCUCCUCACCCUCCAGGAAAUGGGCCCCACUCCCUUCAUCGCCCUCCAGGGACUGGACCCCACUCCCCUCCUCACCCUCCAGGGCCAAACUCUGUUCCUCCUCUAGCCUUCCAGGGACUGGGCCCCGCUCCCCUUGCCACCCUCCAGUGCCGGACCCUGCUCCCCUCCUCGCUCUCCAGGGAUGGGUGCCACUCCCCACCUCGCACUCCAGGGCCUGUGCCCUGCUCCCCUAGCCACCCUACAGGGCUAUACCAGGCGCCACUCGCUGCCCUCCAUGGCCAGACCCCACUCCAUCCUCGCCCUGCAGGGCCUGGGCCCUACCCCACUUCUCUCCCUUCUGGGAGAGACCCUACUCCCCUCCUGGCCCUCAAGGGCCUGAUCCCUGCUCCCCCAUCACACUCCUGGGAGUGGGCCCUGCUCCCCUUGCAGCCCUCCAGGAUCAGACCCUGCUCCCCUCCUCACUCUCCAGGGGCUGGGCCCUGCUCCACUCCUAGCCCUCCAGGGCCUGGGCCCUUCUCCAUUCCUCGCCUUCUUGCCAAGCUCUGCUGCACUACUCGCCCUUCAGGGCCUGGCCCCGCUCCCCUCCUCACCCUCCAGGGUCUGGGUCCAGCUCCCUUCAUCGCCUUCCAGGGCCAGACCCCGCUGCCCUCCUUGCCCUCCAGGCACUGGGCCCAGCUCCCAUCCUCCCCCUCCAGAGCCGGACUCAGCUCUGCUCCUCAUUCUCCGGGCAAAACCCCGCUCCCCUCUGGCCCUCUAGAGCCUGGGCCCACUCCCCUCCUUGCCCUCCAGGACCUGGCCCUGCUCCCCUCUGGCCCUCCAGGGCCUGGGGCCCCACUCCCCUCCUUGCAAUCCAGGGGCAGACUCUGCUCCCCUCUGGCCUUCCAGGGCCUGGGCCCUGCUCUACUCAUGACCUCCAGGUCCGAAGCCCGCUCCCCUCCUCGCCCUCCAAGUCCUGGGCCUUGCUCCCCUCCUUGCCCUUUUUCAUUUUACCUGCUCUGA